AGUGAACGCUGGCGGCAGGCCUAACACAUGCAAGUCGAACGGCAGCACAGUAAGAGCUCGCUCUUACGGGUGGCGAGUGGCGGACGGGUGAGGAAUACAUCGGAAUCUACUUUUUCGUGGGGGAUAACGGAGGGAAACUUACGCUAAUACCGCAUACGACCUACGGGUGAAAUCAGGGGAGCUUCGGACCUUGCGCGAUUGAAUGAGCCGAUGUCGGAUUAGCUAGUUGGCGGGGUAAAGGCCCACCAAGGCGACGAUCCGUAGCUGGUCUGAGAGGAUGAUCAGCCACACUGGAACUGAGACACGGUCCAGACUCCUACGGGAGGCAGCAGUGGGGAAUAUUGGACAAUGGGCGCAAGCCUGAUCCAGCCAUACCGCGUGGGUGAAGAAGGCCUUCGGGUUGUAAAGCCCUUUUAUUGGGAAAGAAAAGCAGCAGGUUAAUACCCCGCUGUUCUGACGGUACCCAAAGAAUAAGCACCGGCUAACUUCGUG
rnacentral:rRNA from 1 species